rnacentral:rRNA from 1 species
CACGUAGGCACCAAGCGUUGUCCGGAUUUAUUGGGCGUAAAGAGCUCGUAGGCGGUUCGGUAAGUCGGGUGUGAAAACUUUGGGCUUAACCCAAAGCGUGCACUCGAUACUGCCAUGACUAGAGUUCGGUAGGGGAGUGGGGAAUUCCUAGUGUAGCGGUGAAAUGCGCAGAUAUUAGGAGGAACACCGGUGGCGAAGGCGCCACUCUGGGCCGAAACUGACGCUGAGGAGCGAAAGCCAGGGGAGCAAACGGG